CACACUUCCCAGCUGUUGGCUAAGAUGAAGUACCUCAUCUGUUCUCAUCACUUUAAUAUCUGAUACAUUCUCAGCCUGAAAACUUUAUUUUAAAUGGAUUUGGAGGCCAUGGGAAGGAGUAACCACUUCCUCCACUUCCUCCAUGCAUCAACCUGAAACUGCAGUGCUUUUAGGUACCCCUGCUGCAUUGUGA